GGCAGAUCAACAAGCUCAAAUUUCCACAUUACUGCAGAAUCGGGCCUGGGAGAACAGGACUGGGCUGCACUCACGCGAUGGGUGCAUCACAGAGAAUAACUCUCCUGUUGAUGGCCAGCACCUGAAUUCUCCUUUCUGAGGCAGAUAACAAAUUCAUCAAUUGGAUGGCCACAUCUGCAGGGGAAGUGAACAGUAGUCAGUGUUGGCUUUGCACUGAAUUGACAGAGGCCGCCAGAAGGGGACUACCAUGGAAAAUCAUUCCCGCUAAUGCGACAGAGUGGCUAUGCCACUGCCAAUGGGGUCACAACAAUAAUACCUGCAAUCCAACAUGGACCUCUCUCACUCACACUAAACAGGCACUCUUUGCCCAAGCCCGACAUAGGGCAAAAUCCACCCUCACCUUGCACCAAAAGUCUUUGCUUCCGGCUCGAUAUGCAUGGAAUGGUAUAUAUUAGGAACCAGCUUUGCUAGUUGCUGGAUUUUCUAAGGCUCCCCUUUGCCUAGAGGCAUUAAAUGGCUCCCUUAAUGCCACCUUAGGAUUUCUCCCAUUAGAUAAUUGUAAACACAUUCUCCAAAUCAACAACACUGCCCUCAAUGAAACACAAACCCUUUCCCACUUUAAUGAGAUACUAUUACCACAAUAUAAUUACAGCCAGGUCCUCAUCGUCCCCUGGGGGGCCCUAUGGGUAUGCGGGCUCUCAGGGUGGCGAUAUCUACCCCCACACUGGACAGGAAGAUGCACUUGGGGGUGGCCAUUAAUUCCAUUUACGGUCCAUGAUGACAUUUCUCUCCCUAGUAAUUUAGAAACUUAUAAAUAUCGCUGGUUGCAAGUGCGUCGAACCCCAUGGUGGUGGUAUCCUGUCACAAUACUCUAUCCUGCUGCAGGCACUGUCUUACUCCAGCAGCAAACCAAAGUCUUAAGCUUGCACACAGAAAAGGCUCUUAAUGAUAGUAGUUCUGGGCUUAUGUUAUUAUUAGAUCAACGUGCUCAACUGCGCACAGUUGUCCUGCAGAACCAUGUGGCACCUGACAUGCUUACUGCAGCCCAAGGAGGAGUACACACUAAGUGCUGUGUAUAUAUCCCAGACAAUUCCCGCCAUGUCACCCUUCUUGCGAAAGGUAUGUGGGCGCGAGUACAACGUCUAGAAUCUAGCCGUCAGGACCCCAUCGUGGACUGGCUUUCCAACUGGCAUUGGCGUUGGCCAUGGUGGGUGUGGUUCUUGUUACUUGUGCUUCUGAUUCUCCUCAGCUUACCCUGAUUCUGUAACCUCUACCAAUUAUGUAUUUCCCAUUUAUCUGCAAGGGUAUUUUCCUAAAACUGGGUAUGAAAUUGAGGCCAAAUAUGGAGGAAAAGUUAAAUAUUAAAUUUGAACUCAAUUGAAUGUAGACACAAACAAUGGUCACCAAGUCCCAGAACAGGUUGUGUGAGCCCCUUGAGGCAUUCAUCCAGUGCUGUUUCUGGGAAAUCUCUAUUUCAAUAGAUUGAAAUAGUUAUUGAAAAACAACAGACGAUCGCAAAAAUGAGUUGACCUCUUUGUGUUCCUUGAGCCCAGUCAUGAAGGGCCCUCGUGACUAGGCCUUAUGCCAAACAACUUGUAACAAAAAGAGCUAGGGUCCCAGACUAUGCUGAAGCUUCAUGAGACCUCUCCUAGUCUGUGCGGGACAGGCAGCCGACUCUGGAGCCCAGGCUGUUGCUUCCCGGUCUGGUGAAGCUUCCUCCAUGGUCUGGUAAGUGUAAAUAUAUAUGUGUGUGUGUGUGUGUGUGUGUGUGUGUGUGUGUGUGUAUACACAUAUAUACAUACAUAUAUAUACACACACAUAUGUAUUUUCCCUUCUCCCCUUCCCAUUGCAAUUUGCUUAUUAUAUCAUUUGCUUAUUGUAUCUGUAUUACCAUUUACAUAGGAUAAAUGUUGUUU
rnacentral:lncRNA from 1 species